AUUGAACGCUGGCGGCAGGCUUAACACAUGCAAGUUGAGCGGGGUGAUGGUGCUUGCACUAUCACUUAGCGGCGGACGGGUGAGUAAUGCUUAGGAAUCUGCCUAUUAGUGGGGGACAACAUCUCGAAAGGGAUGCUAAUACCGCAUACGUCCUACGGGAGAAAGCAGGGGAUCACUUGUGACCUUGCGCUAAUAGAUGAGCCUAAGUCGGAUUAGCUAGUUGGUGGGGUAAAGGCCUACCAAGGCGACGAUCUGUAGCGGGUCUGAGAGGAUGAUCCGCCACACUGGGACUGAGACACGGCCCAGACUCCUACGGGAGGCAGCAGUGGGGAAUAUGGGACAAUGGGGGGAACCCUGAUCCAGCCAUGCCGCGUGUGUGAAGAAGGCCUUAUGGUUGUAAAGCACUUUAAGCGAGGAGGAGGCUCUUUUGGUUAAUACCCAAGAUGAGUGGACGUUACUCGCAGAAUAAGCACCGGCUAACUCUGUGCCAGCCGCCACCGUAA
rnacentral:rRNA from 1 species